CCCUUAGAUGUCCUGGGCCGCACGCGCUUUACACUGAUGCAUUCAACGAGCUUAUAACCUUGGCCGAGAGGCCUGGGCAAUCUUGUUAACGUGCAUCGUGAUAGGGAUAGAUUAUUGAAAUUAUUAAUCUUGAACGAGGAAUUCCUAGUAAACGCAGAUCAUCAAUCUGCAUUGAUUACGUCCCUGCCCUUUGUACACACCGCCCGUCGCACCUACCGAUUGGACGGUCCGGUGAAGCCUCGGGAUUGUGGUUCUUGCCGCUUUAUUGUGGCGUGACCGCGAGAACUUGUCUAAACCUUAUCAUCUAGAGGAAGGUGAAGUCGUAACA
rnacentral:rRNA from 1 species